CGGGGCGUAGCGCAGCCCGGUUAGCGCACCUGUUUUGGGAGCAGGGAGUCGCAGGUUCAAAUCCUGCCGCCCCGACCA
rnacentral:tRNA from 1 species